GGAGAGGUGGCCGAGCUGGCUUAAGGCAACGGUUUGCUAAACCGUCGUAGGGUCAUAAAGCUCUACCGGGGGUUCGAAUCCCCCCCUCUCCG
rnacentral:tRNA from 1 species